rnacentral:rRNA from 1 species
CCUACGGGAGGCAGCAGUGAGGAAUAUUGGUCAAUGGGCGCGAGCCUGAACCAGCCAAGUCGCGUGAGGGAAGACGGUCCGAUGGAAUGUAAACCGCUUUUGUCGGGGAGCAAAAGACGCCACGCGUGGCGUGCCGAGAGUAACCGAAGAAAAAGCAUCGGCUAACUCCGUGCCAGCAGCCGCGGUAAUACGGAGGAGGCGAGCGUUAUCCGGAUUUAUUGGGUUUAAAGGGUGCGCCGGCGGAAGAUCAAGUCAGCGGUAAAAUUGAGCGGCUCAACCUCUUCGAGCCGUUGAAACUGGUUUUCUUGAGUGAGUGAGCAGUAUGCUGACUGUGUGGUGUAGCGG